AUACAGCUGACGAGUCCAAAAUAGGACGAAACUCGCGUCCUGGAU
rnacentral:hammerhead_ribozyme from 1 species